rfam:Spizellomyces punctatus DAOM BR117 chromosome Tnknown supercont1.7, whole genome shotgun sequence.
UCGACCAACUCUUCAGGAUCAUAUGUGGAGUCUGUCGUACCUCGCUUUGUUUUCUAACAAAGUCGCACAUAUCACCCAGGAUGAUGAGACGGAGAGCCUCUAUCCAACGAGAAGUGGGGAGCGUUUGAGGCGUGCCUUUUGGUCGCCUCCCUCCCGUUGAAGAUUGCUCCUCUGGGAUAUUCCAACCCGGUAGGAAGGAUGGUGGGCUCCGUCUGACUGGG